UCCUUGAACUGAGGAAUUUACAACCCUUUAGUAGAAGAAAUAGAGUUUGCAGCUUACCAAAGUCUCCUGUAUGCUACUUCUGAGUUGGGCUACAGUACAGUACAAGCGAUCUCAGCAGCUUGAAGCCGCUGGGGUCUCUUAUAUAGCACAGCGUGUAGCUUAGGAGGUGGCACUGAGCCACAGGGCUCAGAGGAAACCAAAUAGGAGAGUGAGGAGGAAACCGCAGUCUGAAUAAUCCCUGAACAAGGUGAUUGCAUAUUCAAACUUUCUGCAAAACAAUGCAAAGCAACGGCAGACUGGGGAGCUGCAGUGCCCUAAUGGAGAUGAGUAACCGGAGAGAGCAAAGGGGCUGACAAAGGAUAUAGAAACUGCACUGGAGAGCAAUUCUCUUCUUUCUUCUGCGGCUCUGCAGCGGCCCUGCGUGUCAGGAGGGAUGUGAUGAGGUGAGUGUGCCGGGCCGGCGAAGAGGUUUUGGGGGAGAGUUCCAGGCAUACUGGGUGGCAAGGCAGAAGGGGCAGAGACGUUUGCUAGAGAAGGAGAUGAAGGGGAAAUUGAGGCUGGAAGGAGGAACAUACCAGAGGAGACCAAGAUGUUGGCAGAAGCUGAGUGAUGAAGUAGGGAAAGAAGAAGUGAGACUACUAAGAACUGAGGAUGGGGGGAGACUAAAGAUAAUAUGGGGAUGGCCCACCAGCUAAACAAAUACUUUGCCUCGUUUUUAAUAAAAAUAAUGAGCUUGGGGACAGCAGAAGAGAGGACAUGGAUGUAGAAAUUACCACAUCCGAGAUGGAAGUCAAACACCUUAAUGGGACCAAAUCGGGGCGGGGGAAGGAGAGCAGCUAAUCUCUAUCCAAGAAUGUUAAAA